rnacentral:rRNA from 1 species
CAGCAGCCGCGGUAAUACCGGCGGCCCGAGUGGCGGUCACUAUUAUUGGGCUUAAAGCGUCCGUAGCCGGGUUGGGAAGUCCUCCGGGAAAUCUGGCCGCUUAACGGUCAGAAUGCCGGAGGAUACUCCCAGCCUAGGGAGCGGGAGAGGCCGAGGGUAUUCCCGGAGUAGGGGUGAAAUCCUAUAAUCCCGGGAGGACCACCUGUGGCGGAGGCGCUCGGCUGGAACGCGUCCGACGGUGAGGGACGAAGGCCAGGGGAGCAAACCGGAUUAGAUACCCGGGUAGUCCUGGCUGUAAACGAUGCGGACUUUGUGUCGGACAAGCUAUGAGCUUGUCCGGUGCCGGAGGGAAACCGUUAAGUCCGCCGCCUGGGGAGUACGGCCGCAAGGCUGAAACUUAAAGGAAUUGGCGGG